rnacentral:lncRNA from 10 species
CUUUUUGGAUUACUUGGGUUGGUCUGGAUUCUGAGAAGGUGAGGUGGCUAAUGUCUAACUAUCAGAUUAAGCGUAAGUUUCCCAUACAUCAGAGCAGAUGUGACACCUUUAUUGACAGUAUGUCCAUAUUGUUUUAUGUUCUUGUGUUACUUUUUCCCCCCAGUAAUGCCUUUGCAUGAAAUGCUUUCCUUUCAGUAAAAAAAUAAGCCAAAUUUUCUUGUUAUCUUCUGGACAAGGGAGGGGGUGCUUUUUUCGCGGAAAACAAUUAACAGUAAUAUAAAACUUUACAGUGUCAAAGUAAGAUGAUCUUUUUAUGCAAAUACUAACUUGAAGUUUUUAACCAUCUGUUCUUAAUUGAGCUUGGAGAAGAUUAUUUUCAUAAUCUAAAAGACAUACUGUGAAUGCUCAGGCACAUGCUGAAUAGCCCAAGAAAGUAGGGAUCAGCAUCACAUAUAUUUAAACAAAUUAGUCAAAGGAAAAAAUUUUACUUGUGUUUCUGCAUGAAAGGUGGAACCUAAUUGAAAAGCAGGAGAUAUUUUCAAUUUCAUUGGUUGAAACAGCCAAAGAUAAACCAUGGUGAUUCUGUCUGGGGACCCACAUAUAUGCAUAUCAUGUAGGAAGACAUAAUUGCUUCCGUAGCAAUAAACUAUUUCUAUUUCUUCUUAUUUGUUAUGAGUUAGACUUUGUCAUUCUUCAGGACCCCCAGAGAUUUCGAAGAAAGACUAUACGAAGAUAGAUAAAGCAUAUCCUCUAUCCCAUCUCUGUCUGUGGAAGUCAAUAUAUUUUUAAUGUAAAAAAUUGAUUGUAGUUUGGUGAAGAAGACAUCACAGCUUGCAAAGGAAGAGACUUCAUGAGAACUCACAGAAUGAGUUUGAAUCUUGGAGUGCUGGCCCAAGACAGACUGCUGCACUUUGCACUAGGCUGACAUUAUUUGUCUGUCCUCUACUGUGACACAGGAAAAAGUGAAUUAUUUCUGAUGUGCUCAAAGCAUUCCUGAUUUUCUCAAGUUUCAGGUUUGACCCCUGGCACACACUGACCCCAGGUGAAGACAGAGCAGACUCUGUAGUCUGCCAAAGGAUGAACUCUGAUCUAAGCUCUCUGAAGCAGUCCUGGCCUCUGGAUAAAUGACCUCUUCAAUUAGGCUUCUUUACGUUUCAUGUAGAUGAAGAGAUUUUGGCUCAUUUCCCCACUUCUGCCUUUGCUCAAUGUGAAAACACAUUGUAAAAUAUAAUCAUUUGAGGGUGAUUCUAACAGUUCUAACUGACUGGCUGUUCUGGAAGAUAAAAAUAAUACGAUUUUAAAGGAACCUUAACUUUUGAAAGUGAAGUGAGUACCACAUGCUGCAAAGGAGAAUAUUGAUUUAAUGGCCACACAUAAUCCUGUAAAUUUAGUCAUGAAACAGACACUAAUUUUAAAGAAUAGUGGUACUAUUAAAAUAUACCUCUGCACAGCUGUAGGACAAACAGAUUUGAUUCCCCUCAGGGGAAACUGAGAGGUCCAAGUGGUCUUUGCCAGUCUGUGAACUUGCAGUGUGUGUCAGUGACAGUUUGAGUACUGCGGGCUAUAGGACUUGCAUUCCUAAGCAAGUUCUCUAGGCUUCCACAGAAAUAAGCGAUAAAAAUUGCCCUUCUGUGUUUUGAGUUAACUUCCUUUAGAUCUCAUUGAGCCAAGAGCCAAAUCCACCAUGAGUAAAAGUGUUGAGCAUUGUCAGAGAGCUGUACUAAUGGACAAAGGCUGACUUUAAAGGUCAUAAAGUAUUUCUCUCACAUGGGUGAUGAAUAGCAGUUUGGAAUUUCCUUGGCUCUGUUAUACUGUGUGCUGAGGUGGUGGUAAUGUUUAUCAGGGAAGCCUGUCUUGGCUUAUUGGACUAAAUGAGAGGCUAAGAAGGGAAUGCUGUCCUAUGUCAGGGCGUUAUAGGUAAGUCAUGAAAUUUUCUCUAAUGAGAUUUACAAAGGGUGGUCUUUAACACCAGAAGGUAUAGCUACUAGUUAUAACCAGUAUUCAAAAUGAGCUGGGCUUGAACCUAGUGAAAGUGUCAUAGUUUCAUCAAAGACCUGUAUGACCAGAAUAGAAAAUUAUACCUAUAGGGCUACCAGAUGUCCAUAGAAAGGUAAAUAGAACUUUGGUUGGACAGGGUUAGGAUUUAAAAUCACACUGGUACACUGUAGAAGUAGAAUAAAGGAGAGUGAAGUCUGGUAAAGACGAUGCUAGACAAGAUUAUAGUACUAAACAUAGAAAACAAUUUUGUACAGUGAUCAGAUAGGAAAUAAUGGCUAGUAUACAUUCCAGCAGAAAACAUAAUUUGUGGACUUGUUAAAUUAUUUUCUGUUCUGUUGUUCCAUCAUUUCAUAAUUCAGCCUCCUGUCUGUCAAUUCUUCUUUCAGUGGAAAUAAAGCCAGUGGAGAAACCAAACUUUAAGGAGUUUGCUUAUUUUCUCACCUCUACCUUAGAAGCAAAAGUGGUUUUAGAUAGGGCCAAAUACUGAAAAAUGACAGCUCACAGUGUAAGGUGGAUGAGGCUGAGGCUAUCAGGCUGGGGCCUUUUAGCGUAGGGGCAACCAGCCUGCAUAUCCAAUACUCAUGAGAUUACUACUAUAUAAAAGUAUAGAGCAGCAAUAAUUUUUACAACGCUAACACAAAGUGUCAUCAAAAUGCCAAAUGAUGUUCAGUAAAAGUUUACGCUCUUUUAUAAGUAAAUAUAUUGGUGUGGAACUUCCUAUUAUCUAAUGGGGCUGGAUAAAUGUACUGACUUUGCAAUCUAUUAUUAUUGGUUUUUUUUUCAGAGAUAGUACUAAAGUAAAAUUCUUCAGUAUUGCUUUUGCACAAAUAAUCAUACAGUUUGAAGUAGUUAGGACUAAAGUGAUAGGUUUCCAAGAAUAUAAUUUUGAAAGCAAAAGUAGUUAGAUUCAUUCAGAUAUUUUAACUGUUUCCUGCCUAUAUUCACUUCUAUCUUUACACAGCAGAUUUCUUAUAAAAAUUUAAAGCAUGCGCAGAAAAUGGGAGAAAAGUAUCUUUCUGUAAAUUGUAGUGUGGUGGAGGUACUUACAUACUGAAUCCAAAAACAGGUAAAAAUGAUUCUCCCUAGCUGAUUAAGUGAUUUUCAACUUGUGUCGUUGUCUUCAAAUAUAACAGUUCACCAUGGCUUCUGAGGCUAGGAUAAAUAAUCAUGGAACCUCAUUUUAAAACACGGAUUGCAAGCAAAACAGAAAGAAAAAAAACCCACACUAGCAUAACUGUUUUAAAGAUCCUGGCAUAUAUGAUUUGCUUUUGAAAACAGUUCCUCACUGCAGGGAAAACCGAUCGGUUAUACACAUCCAUGAAUAAGCUGCAGAAGCGUGGUACCACAUUGAAUAUCGCAAAUUUCAGUGACUAGUCAUGGUUGUAGAUGCAAAUAGUUCUUAGCAACUCUGGUGAUAUCUAUGCAAACACAGUUUGUUAGAUGAGGAUGAAACGUGUUGGUGACAUGGGUCAAAGAAAACGGGGUGUGCAUUUAGCACAAGAGAGCCUCCUCUAGGCUAUUGCAGAGGGAAAACCCUGCUUUUCCUUGGCCUCAUUGUAAACUUGUCUUUGACAAAAUAACCAAAAGAACAUAAAACUCAGCUAAAUCAAAGCAAAAGAAAUAAAACCUCAAACUCUCCCUAUGUUUGGCUGUUUUCUUUGUCCAUCUUCAUCGUGCAGACUCGAGUUAUCAGAAUUAAAGCCUUCACUUUGUUCUGACCAAAGACUUCUUGGAAUUGUGCACUGGGUCACAAAUGUAAGCCAGUUCCAUCUGCUCUCUUUCAUCCAUUUGAAAAAUUACUAACGAAUAUUAUCUAAAUAUUGAAUGAUCUUUUUCUAGGCUAGUGCAGAAUGCAUUUUCAAAACGGUAGGUUGUGAAAUACUGCUAAUGGGGUCCUUAUAAAAUAAACACUAGAGUAAUAGAGCUAGUUGUUUUUGCAUUAUGUUCUCUUCAGGAACCAGUUCUUUAUGAGUAUUCAACAAAUAUUAAAUAAUUAGGGUUAUAGCUAAGGAAGCACAGCCAAAGGCUAAGUGGUGUUUUCAAGGUUGUAAAAUGUGUUAGCAAGGAAACCUGGGACUGAAAUGAAGAGUUCUUCGCUUCUUCCUGGGGCUUGGAUCACUACGCCCCUCUAUUUCCUUAAUCGCGUAAAACCAUUGGGUUCCUUACUAACUCCUAAUCCAGUGCUCAGUUAGGCAAAAUUUGGAAACCUUCAGGCAAUGACCUGUUUUUCAAUGGAAAAACGUAUUUACUUCCAGCUGGAACACAUCGAGACAAGCCAUUUGUCUUAUAGCCUCAUUCUUGCCAAAAGACUGGAAAAUAACUUAUUAGUGAGUCUAACAUCUCAAGAGCCACAACAACAGCUGCACUGAAUAUAGAACACACAGAAUGACUGGACACUGUGAAACUGGGUUGACGGAAACCAAUGCAACAGUAAUUCCAGGACUUGCUUUGAUUUUUUCAACGGAGUGCAAGUUAGAGGGAAAAUUUCAUGCCUACACGAUCAGAUUGACUUAGCCUGUCUGUUCAUCUGUAAAUUGUCUUUGUAGCAUUUGUAUAUGUGCUGUUUAAGAUCAUUGUCAAAUUAAUAAUUGAGGUUUGUGAUUGAAUCAUAAUUUUAGAACCUCUUCCCAACUCAAUAUUCUCAAUUAAACCAAAUAGACUACUGGGGAGAUAAACUCUGUUAAAAAUAUAUGUGUAUAGUUAUAAAACUCCAAUACUUUAUGAGAUCAAAGGCAACCAGCUUCAAAUAUGCACUCCCAUCACACUGUUGAACAUUUUGUGAUUUAAUGAAUUAAAUAACCUAGAAAUUACAUCAUUUACCAAAUAUAUGAAUUUAACGGGUACAGUUUCCAUACAGUGAUAUUUGCCUUUCAGCCAGUUGGCAGUAGCAUUUAUGGAAAAUCUUCUGGGUCUUGGGCAUGUUUAAAAAAUUAAGAGGGAAAAAUUCCAAUUCUUUACUAUUUCAUUUCUUUAAAAAUCUUGUUUCUGCUAGUUUAAUGUAAAAAUUUAAAAGUUGAAGGUGAGUGUUGUCACCUAAAUGUUGACCACUUAAGUGGUUCUGAGAUAUUAGACAGUUCAAACUUUGAUAGUUUAGAAUAGGAAAAUCAAUUAUCUUUUAAUUAAAAUUAAAUUUAUUUCACAAUUGGUCCCAUUAUGGCAAUGGGUGUACACUCUCUCAAUAGUGACACAAUUGCUAAAUAGCAGUGCUUCAGUGGUAUAUAUACAGUUUGAAUGUUGAUCAGACAUUUACAAAUAUUUACUGAAAUAAUUGAUAUUUGUGUGGCAUAUAAGCACUAGUCCUAGAAGUAUAACAGAAAUAAUUAUAAUCAAAAAAGGAUAUUAAAAUCCCAAAAUAAUUU